rnacentral:rRNA from 1 species
GAUGAACGCUGGCGGCGUGCCUAAUACAUGCAAGUCGAACGGACAGGCCCUGAUUUUGCUGGUCUCACGUUUGGCGAACAGGGGAGUAACACACGUGUAUACCCUCCCUGUCAUUGUGGUAAAUUUUCGGAACAGGGGAGAAUAUCCGGUAUGACCUCCUGCUGCACGGGGGUGGUUAGUAAGUGUCGGCGGUUGUGGAUCGUCUCGAGGGUUCUCAGCCUGUUUGUGGGGUAGUGGCUUACCAAGGCUUUGACGGGUAGCCGGCCUGAGAGGGUGACCGGCCACAUUGGGACUGAGAUACGGCCCAGACUCCUACGGGAGGCAGCAGUGGGGAAUAUUGCACAAUGGGCGGAAGCCUGAUGCAGCAACGCCGCGUGCGGGAUGACGGCCUUCGGGUUGUAAACCGAUUUCGCCUGUGACGAAGCGUGAGUGACGGUAAUGGGUAAAGAAGCACCGGCUAACUACGUG